rnacentral:rRNA from 1 species
UACGUAGGGGGCAAGCGUUGUCCGGAAUCAUUGGGCGUAAAGAGCGUGUAGGCGGCCAGAUAAGUCCGCUGUGAAAUCUCGAGGCUCAACUUCGAGCUGUCGGUGGAAACUGUCUGGCUAGAGUCCGGAAGAGGAGAAUGGAAUUCCUGGUGUAGCGGUGAAAUGCGCAGAUAUCAGGAAGAACACCCGUGGCGAAGGCGGUUCUCUGGGCCGAUACUGACGCUGAGGAGCGAAAGCGUGGGGAGCGAACAGG